GGGAGCAGCAUACAUACAGGGCAUUGUCUUGUAAUUGGAAUGAUGGUGACGUAAAAUCUCACCAGAGUAACAAUUGGAGGGCAAGUCUGGUGCCAGCAGCCGCGGUAAUUCCAGCUCCAAUAGCGUAUAUUAAACUUGUUGCAGUUAAAAAGCUCGUAGUUGAAUUUCUGCGUUGCCCGACUCGGCUACUUGCCUUGUCUGGUUUCGCUUUUGGGGUUUUCCCCUUUUUACUUUGAGAAAAUUAGAGUGUUUCAAGCAGACUUGUGUCUUGAAUACUUCAGCAUGGAAUAAUAAAGUAGGACUUUGGUUCUAUUUUGUUGGUUUGUGAACCUUAGUAAUGGUUAAUAGGAACGGUUGGGGGCUUCCGUAUUUAAA
rnacentral:rRNA from 1 species